GACGAACGCUGGCGGCGUGCUUAACACAUGCAAGUCGAACGCUGAAGCUCAGCUUUUGUUGGGUGGAUGAGUGGCGAACGGGUGAGUAACACGUGAGUAACCUGCCCCCUUCUUUGGGAUAACGCCCGGAAACGGGUGCUAAUACUGGAUAUUCACUGGUCUUCGCAUGGGGGUUGGUGGAAAGGGUUUUUCUGGUGGGGGAUGGGCUCGCGGCCUAUCAGCUUGUUGGGGGGGUGAUGGCCUACCAGGGCUUUGACGGGUAGCCGGCCUGAGAGGGUGACCGGUCACAUUGGGACUGAGAUACGGCCCAGACUCCUACGGGAGGCAGCAGUGGGGAAUAUUGCACAAUGGGCGCAAGCCUGAUGCAGCGACGCCGCGUGAGGGAUGGAGGCCUUCGGGUUGUGAACCUCUUUCGCUCAUGGUCAAGCCGCAACAAUGGUUGUGGUGAGGGUAGUGGGUAAAGAAGCGCCGGCUAACUACGUG
rnacentral:rRNA from 1 species